AUCGUGGUGAAAGUCACCCUCGAAGGCAGCCCUGGGGAGGAUAGAAGGCAGCGCCUUCCCGUCACUGAGCCCAUGGCAAUCAGAGCCCAAUGUCACCAGCGACUCCUGUGAAAUUAGCAGUGACUUCACGCGUUGAGGGCAUGGGGCAAAUGCCACCACCUGUCGGUAUUUCCAUCGGGUCUACACCCAAGAAAGGGGGAGAUGCUGCCUUUCUGAAGUAGGUUGUGCCUGAGGCGGCCUCAGCAGAGAGGAAAUGUGUAGGCGUCCACAGCCAGCCCAGCCUGCUCAGAAUCGCACCCACACUGAAGUUCUGGAGUUGGUGGCAGUGAUUCCUCCUCCAGCUUCCCAGAGCCUUGGAGUGCACUUAGGAGAUCAGCGAGGCCUCUGUGCACUGAUGGAAGCUGGCUUCCCCAGAAAUCUGCUGGAGUGAGGGCCUGUCAGGGGCCCUCCUGGCCGACGUUGACCAGGACUGGCCCAGGGACCAGGUGGACACGAGGGCAAUGAUGUCACAGCUGCCCCGACGGUUGAUGCCCCGUGGCUUGCCACGGCCGUGGCCUUGGAGACAGGGUCUCCGGCGCAGCGCCUCAGCUCCGCCCAUACUCGCUCCGCCCUGGUGGGCUCCAGCCUUUCCCUUUCCCUGGGGCUCAGCCUCCCAAUCAGUCAAAUGGGCAGAUUAACACCCAUGGCCUUGACUCCGUCAGAGACUGGGGGAAGAAAUCGUGAGUCAGGGCAGCGAGGUCUGCGGGGAGCGUUGUGAAGGUGUGAAGUGCUGAGCUCCCAGGUCCCUGGCUGCCACCAUGGGCUCGGAGCCGCGUGUUGAUGUGAUGGGUAUGAUGGAUGUGAAAGAUGGAGCAGCAGCAGCCGGUUUGCAGCCUUGAGGGAAAGGCCAAGAGGCUUGUGGAAGUCUCGGUGAUGCCAUCUCCAAGAUGCUGAACCACGACCAGCAAUUUCCUACCCCAGAUUUCUCAAGAUUUGAGGAAAACAGUUAUGUAAUUAAGUUUCUAUAGCUACGCUUUCUGUUCCUGGAAGCUGAAAGCAUUCCUGAUUAAUGUGGUUAGUUUUCUGUUCAACUAGCAAACAGUACAGUGGUAAUGACAGAGUCCUAGACUAUCUGGGCUGAAAGGAACCUCAAACAGAGGUCAACCAGUGACCUGUCCUUUCAUUUCACAGGGACGAAAAGGGACAGGAAAGGGGUCCUUUCUGGGGUGCUUGUCCAGGGUGCUUCAGGGAGAGAGGGGUGGAACCAGGACUGUUUUCUGCAUUUCUCAGCAGCUCACGGUUGCUUUCACCACACCUCACUGAUGUGUGCUAUCUUCCAGGCAAUAAUGACAAGAGCCACCAUUUACUUAUUAGGCCAGGUGCAGAUUAAGUACUUUGCCUAUAUCAAUUCAUUACAUUCUCACCAAACUCCUCCAAGGGAGACAGUCUUGUUAUCAUUUGCAUUUAUGAGGAUGAAGCCAAGCACAGAGAGAUCAAGUAACUUGUCCAAGUAUCCAAAUCCAGACAUUGUAGUGAUGAUGACUCCAACCUCAGGAGUCUGGAGCCUGAGCUCCCACAUGGAACCACUAGGCUGUACUGCCUGGGUGGGGUUUCAGAAAUGCUGGUAUAAGAUUCCAGGCUGGUAGGAGCUUCUUAGGGUGAGACGAGUAGGGGCAAAUCAGCAGGGCCACCUCUCUGGUAAAGUCCUUGGGGCACUGCUUCCGGGAAACACAAUGUCAGUGGUGCCACUGGGCUGUCCAAUGUGGUGGCCCCAGGGUUUUGUCCCUGCAAGUGUCACACUGUGAGUUCCUCAGGAACUAGAUGACAACAUAAACAAAUGAAGCCAGGUGACUAUAGUGAGGGGUGUGGAAUGAGGCCAAUUGGGGAGCCCAAGCACCUUCUAAAGGAGCAUCGGCCCCUCAGCUUCAGCCUCUGUUACUGUGGGAAAAUAUGGGUCCACAUUUUACAGUUUUAUAGGUUUUCAAUGACUGCCUCAAAUCUGGACCUUUUUCUCUCUCUCUGCUUUAAUUUAAUUUAAUAUAUCUCUCUUGGUUGUGCAUCAUUUAAUUUUAUUCUUAGGUAAUUUUUUUAUUGUUAUGUCAUCCAUAUACCCUAAAAUUCACCAUUUUGAAGUAUGUAGUUG
rnacentral:lncRNA from 1 species